rnacentral:rRNA from 1 species
UACGUAGGCAGCAAGCGUUGUUCGGAAUUACUGGGCGUAAAGAGUGUGUAGGUGGUGUUCUAAGUCUGUCGUGAAAUCUCCCGGCUUAACUGGGAGGGUGCGGCGGAAACUGGAAUGCUCGAGUACGGGAGAGGUAAGCGGAAUUCCUGGUGUAGCGGUGAAAUGCGUAGAUAUCAGGAGGAACACCUGUGGUGUAGACAGCUUACUGGACCAUUACUGACACUGAGACACGAAAGCGUGGGUAGCAAACAGG